GACGAACGCUGGCGGCGUGCUUAACACAUGCAAGUCGAACGGAAAGGCCCUGCUUUUGUGGGGUGCUCGAGUGGCGAACGGGUGAGUAACACGUGAGUAACCUGCCCUUUACUUUGGGAUAACUUCAGGAAACUGGGGCUAAUACCGGAUAUGAGCUCCUGCUGCAUGGUGGGGGUUGGAAAGUUUCGGCGGUUGGGGAUGGACUCGCGGCUUAUCAGCUUGUUGGUGGGGUAGUGGCUUACCACGGCUUUGACGGGUAGCCGGCCUGAGAGGGUGACCGGCCACAUUGGGACUGAGAUACGGCCCAGACUCCUACGGGAGGCAGCAGUGGGGAAUAUUGCACAAUGGGCGGAAGCCUGAUGCAGCAACGCCGCGUGCGGGAUGACGGCCUUCGGGCUGUAAACCGCUUUCGCCUGUGACGAAGCGUGAGUGACGGUAAUGGGUAAAGAAGCACCAGCUAACUACGUG
rnacentral:rRNA from 1 species